GGAGAGAUGGCUGAGUGGUUGAUAGCUCCGGUCUUGAAAACCGGUAUAGUUCUAGGAACUAUCGAGGGUUCGAAUCCCUCUCUCUCCUUUUGCUUUCCUCUCUCUCUCCU
rnacentral:tRNA from 8 species